rnacentral:rRNA from 1 species
ACAUGCCUACAACAUAGUGUUAAUGCACCAAAUCCCAUUAGAACUCUGUAGUUAAGCGCACUCAGGCUAGAGUAGUACUAGGAUGGGUGACCGCCCGGGAAGUCCUAGUGUUUUACAUGCC